rnacentral:lncRNA from 1 species
UCGAUCGUGCAUCGGUUCAUGAGAACCCGUCAUGGACCACGAGAAACCACCUUCGAAAUGUCGUCGGUCCACCCUGGACCGCGCAAAUUGACUGAGAAAUAGCUGCUUGAUCCACAGCUCCGCCUGUGGACCGCUGGUCCGUGAUGGACCGCAUGAAGGAUAGCGGGCCUGAGCGCUCGCACACUCACCCAUGCUGGGUUGAGGCUGCAGGCAGCGCUCCCGUGGUCGGCUCGCGCACACCC